GAUGAACGCUGGCGGCGUGCCUAAUACAUGCAAGUCGAGCGAACAGAUGAGAAGCUUGCUCCUCUGACGUUAGCGGCGGACGGGUGAGUAACACGUGGAUAACCUACCUAUAAGACUGGGAUAACUUCGGGAAACCGGAGCUAAUACCGGAUAAUAUAUUGAACCGCAUGGUUCAAUAGUGAAAGACGGUUUUGCUGUCACUUGUAGAUGGAUCCGCGCCGCAUUAGCUAGUUGGUAAGGUAACGGCUUACCAAGGCAACGAUGCGUAGCCGACCUGAGAGGGUGAUCGGCCACACUGGAACUGAGACACGGUCCAGACUCCUACGGGAGGCAGCAGUAGGGAAUCUUCCGCAAUGGGCGAAAGCCUGACGGAGCAACGCCGCGUGAGUGAUGAAGGUCUUCGGAUCGUAAAACUCUGUUAUUAGGGAAGAACAAAUGUGUAAGUAACUAUGCACGUCUUGACGGUACCUAAUCAGAAAGCCACGGCUAACUACGUG
rnacentral:rRNA from 1 species